rnacentral:rRNA from 1 species
GACGAACGCUGGCGGCGUGCCUAAUACAUGCAAGUAGAACGCACAGUUUAUACCGUAGCUUGCUACACCAUAGACUGUGAGUUGCGAACGGGUGAGUAACGCGUAGGUAGCCUGCCUGGUAGCGGGGGAUAACUAUUGGAAACGAUAGCUAAUACCGCAUAAUAUUAAUUAUUGCAUGAUAAUUAAUUGAAAGGUGCAAUUGCACCACUACCAGAUGGACCUGCGUUGUAUUAGCUAGUAGGUGAGGUAACGGCUCACCUAGGCGACGAUACAUAGCCGACCUGAGAGGGUGAUCGGCCAAACUGGGACUUGGACACGGCCCAGACUCCUACGGGAGGCAGCAGUAGGGAAUCUUCGGCAAUGGACGAAAGUCUGACCGAGCAACGCCGCGUGAGUGAAGAAGGUUUUCGGAUCGUAAAGCUCUGUUGUAAGAGAAGAACGGGUGUGAGGGUGGAAAGUUCACACUGUGACGGUAUCUUACCAGAAAGGGACGGCUAACUACGUG